AACGCCGCAACUAGCACCGGCUCCAAGACGCGUCGCUCAGACACUUCCUCCUUCAUUGGCGCCACUGAUCUAACAGCUCUAGAAAUUCAAGCAUGGAAGAAUAAAAGACAUAUAACCAUGUAUUUCACAAAAGCCCUGGUAUAACCAUACAAAGAAUGACAUCACAAGAAGGAUGGCUGCUCGCACUAAAUAUGAGAAGUUGGAAGAGUAGAUGGAGGAAGCUACAACUAACUUGGUCUCUCAAUCAAGUCAGAUAGAGGAAUUGAAGUUUCAUCCAAGGGAGUGUAAUCAAGAGGUUGCUAACAUGAAGAGUGCUCUGAUCGAAUAGUUUCUUGUUGGAUUCUCAAGUUUUUUAAGAUUAAGUGAUUUAUACUCUUAAGGAUUUGUUAGAUUCUUAGUUUGAACGUCAAGAAAAAUAGUUUAUUCAUCAAUGUUGACAUAUUCUCAAAAGUUUAUAUGAAUGUAUGUGUAUAUGAUUUUCUCAAAUUUCUCAAUUUUCCUUUAGACAUAUUUACAUCAAUGUAAGUUCAGUUGUUUGUUACAUCUAUUUGGUUAUAGUGAUCCU